AACAGUGACACUCUCACUCUCACUGGUGAUCGUGACAUCAACAUUGACACACACAACUUUUCAUUUUAAUAUAUUAGUAAAUGUUGAAAUUAACAUUAAGAUUAAUAAAUGCUUUAGAAGUAUUUAUCAUUGUUAGUUCAUGUUAACAAAUAGAAUCUUAUUGUAAAGCGUUACUGAAUUUCCUCAAGGCAGAAUCACAAAGAUGCAAAAACAUCCACUAAGUUUUGCUUAAUUGCAAGAAACGUGUUUGUGAUGCAUUUCCUAGAAAUGGGUUCAUUUUCAUUCUUCCUUCUUUUCCACCCAAUAUAAAUCAGUCAACUGAGCAUUUCAGACACUCUCUGAACUCCAGCUCAGACUCAACAGACUCUUUCAUUUCCACGAGCUCAAGAACGACGCACAGGAUGAGCUCGGCGGUUCUCCUCGUACUCCUCCUCACUCUGAUGUUGACUGAUGCAAGUCCCUGCCAGGAAUGGAAUAACAACGGUUAUUAUAAGUUUAAAAACAAACAUAUUCUCUCAUAUAAAUUCGACACAAACUCUCUAGAUGCUUGGACAGAUUACAUAGGAAACAAGGAUCUUUGUGGCAGACCUCUUCAGUCCUUCCUCGAAAAAGACGACGAAAGUAGAGUUAAAGGAAUCUGCAAUGGACGAGGCAUCAUAUACAGCGGCAUCAGCGACAACUUGUGCAUCAGCAGGGAAACGUUCACAGUGUACAUUGUUCGAAGCAAGAGAGGAAAGUGUGAAGUUUAUUCUGUAGAAAAGAAAGAGCGCUAUGUGGUUGUAGCUUGUGAUGUUGAUGGUAACCAGUGUUUGCCUGUUCACUAUGAGACACAAACUAACGAACCACCCCAAGGUCGUGAGAUCUGCCAGCCACCAACCUAUAGUUCAUGGUACAGUGGGGAUGAAGAGUGGAUUAGGUAGGCUACAGUACGGUUGAAAAGUGAAAGUUAAGGCUGAUUUAUACUUCUGCGUCGGACCUACGCUGGAGCCUCUGCUCCGUAGGCUAUGCGUCUGUUUUCAUUUAUACUUCUGUGUCGUUGUCAGUGUCGACGUGCAUGCAGACCACAAGUAGACAGUGUCCGCGGUCAUGUUGAGUAUCAAGGCAAAAGCCGAAGAAGAAGCAGUUUGUCAUGUACGUUGUCAGAGAAGCUUACAACUAGAAGCAGCAAAUAGGUAACGACUUUUGUUGCAGUAUGACUGCAUGUGUCCCCUGAAACAGAGCGUUUUUCAUUCCUAUGGAAGUUGAAUACGCUCGCUCUUCUCCUAUUGCCCCGUGCCAGUUUUUUGACCUGAGGGAGGGGUUCUAGCAGACCAAUCACAGCGCUUGCGGUCCGCGUAGAAUUGAUGCGUUGUUACAUUUUUGAAGAGGUGCACGUCAGGCUACGUGUGGUACAAACAGCCCACGCCGUAGCUACGGCAUACACUCGACGCAGACGUAUAAAUCAGCCUUUAGUAGCAAGUAAUUUCUACUUAAUCUCUAUAGAACGUUUCACAUAAGCAUCAUUAUCCAAGACGGAUGGAAACAUGUUCAUAUGCUUCACUUCUAUCCUCUAACAUCACUUCUACAGCUGUCCUUUCAGGUCUGAGAUUGUCAUUUAUUUUUAUGAACGCUUCAUUUAAUCUGUCUAUUAGUGAAUCAGUGAAUGUGAUGAAAAAUGAUCAGUGAUUUUUUUUUUUUGUCAUGUUUCAAAAAACUGAUUUUGUUUAUGAUUGUUUUACUAUUUUCAGAUAAACUAUAGCAAUUUCUAUGCUUUUCCGUGUGUAAUUUUGAGAAUGAAACAAUUUUAUUUCAACAUCUUUUUUUAUUCUUUAAAAAUACAACUGUGUAAAUGCAUGUGUGUUGUCAUGGUUUUGCAAAACCAAAGUUGUGCUAUCUGUGCUAAUGUAAAAUAAAACAUCUUACUGUC